UGAAAUGGCUUCAGCGGACUGCUGGGACCGAGCUUGGCUGGCAAGGACUCCCCUGGAGGUCCCACCGACACUCCAUCAGAUGGGGUCCACAGACGCCCCAUAGGAAGAAGCCUCUGCGCAGGCCCGCCCGGGGGUGGGGGCCACCAGAAGGAUACGCUCCAGGUAGUAGGCGCCCUCAGCGGUCACCGCCUCUGUCAUCUCGCCCGUGGGUGACAAGCCAAUGCCCAGCGCCUCCAGCACCCGCAGCGGCGGGACCCCAGGCGGGGUAGCCAUGCUUGCAACUGUGCCUCUCCGACUGUGCCCCUCGGACUGGCGUCGCGACUCUCGCGAGAUCCGGGGACCCCUCACCCCGACUAGCCCGGCACCAGAAGGCCCGGUCAAGCCCUCUGCGCGUCCGCGGUUACUACAGCAACGCGUUGCCUAGUUACCCCAGACGCCCCACCAAGCUUGGAGAGCCGACUAGAAGCCCGGAACUGGGACUCCUAUUACUUUUACACAAGCUACUCGUUUGGCCACACCACUAACCUAGGCCUGUCUCUGCAUUUACAAACUGAGGAUAACGUCACCUGCCUCAAGUGUUGUUAUUAGCUAUAAAUCACCAGAGCAUUAGCAACCUAUUCAGAGCAUACAGCGGUAAGAAAUAUGAGCUGUUUCUAUUAAAAUUGGUUUUGAGCCGUAGAAUAAAGGUCACCAUGAUACCUAA